rnacentral:lncRNA from 1 species
GGAAGGCAACGAGCUCGCUACCCAGCUCGGCUGGCAGGGGCUGGGGCAGGCUCAGGGGCAGGGCCCCCAGCUUAUCUCUGAUGGGGGAGAAGGGGGACCUCUCUUGGGCUUCCCCCUGGACGGCCGUUAGGAUGGGGCAGGCUGUCGCCUCCUGGCUGCCCAGGUACACAGAGGCAGCAGGCAGGAGCAAGCAAAGAGCUGAAUGAAUAAACAGCUGCAUGGAGGAUCCCAUCCUGGACACCACAGACACUCAGUCAUCGCGUCUCCUUAGACUCCUCUGGCAGUCAGACUUCCCUUGUUCUGGUGACCUUGAUGGUUUGGAGGAGGACUGUCAGGAUUUUUGUAAGAUGCCCCUCUAUGGGGAUUUGUCUGAUGUUUACGUCAUGAUUGCACUGGGCGCCUUGGUCUGGGGAGGAAGACCACAGGGUGAAGUGCCCUUCUGCUCCCCUCACAUCAGGACACAGGCUCCCGACAUGACGUUUCCCUGUGAGACCAGCAUGGAUUCACGGAUGUCUGUUGAACACUGUGGGUUAUCGUCCAAUACGACAUUAUUGAUUUUCUCGCUCACGUUGUUCCCACUUUGGCCACUGGGAGCUCUUUCAGUUGGUUCCUGUGACAAAACAGUUUCAAUUAACCAAGUAAUUAUUAGAUGUAGGAGAGGAAGACGGAGGAAAAAGGAGGUCUCUGGCUGGCGACUAUGUUAUACACAUGAGCAUGUGCACUCACAUCCAAGCCCAGCGUCUCCCAGGGAAAUGAGGACGAGAGCUGGCCCGGGCUGGCUCACAGUAGCCUCAGGACAAGGUCUGUGGGGAGCAGGGGAAUCUGUACCCCUGGACCAGCCCCUCGGGACUGAAGCUGCUGCUUUAGGGCACCCUCCUGGCUCCCACGGGCUGCCCUCUGGAGCGGAGGCCACCUGAGGCGCCCAGAGGAGAUGGACAUUGCCAGGUGCUGCUUCUCUCACCAAAGUCGGAGAAAGACACUCCUGAAGUGAGGUGCACAGCGGGGAGCGGCUCGUCCUGGUACAGAGAAGGUCGAGAUGGCCAGCCUCACAGCCCACGCCCUGGCGCACCCGGAUCCGGCACUUCCUGUCCUGCCGCCCCCCUCGGGUGACGCCUGAGCCCCAGCCUGGGCCACGCCUGGGCCGCACCUGGAGUAACAGUGCAGGCCCAUGGCAUUGGGAAUCCCCUCGUGCCUCUGGAGACCCCGGGAAGGAAUUCUUGGGAGUCAGGGGGGCCACCCGAAGGGGCUGGGACAGACAAGGGGUCCUGACUGCCCCUCACUCUUGUCAGAGGGGCAGAGAAGGCAGCUGAGCCCCAUUCUGCUGGUUUCUAGAAGACCAAGCUGUGAUGAAGACCAAGCUGCCUGAAGCUGUGUGGGGCACAUCUCCUCCCCUGCUGAGGUCCCCGAGUGUCCAGGAGGACCUCACAUUACGAGAUGUCAGAGGGGAACAAUUCUAGCAUGAGAGCUGAGCCUGCUGCCCUGGCGGACCACAGCAGCCGUCCCCACGGUUCAAACCGGCCCAGACCAGACCCAGAUGGGUGGUCUCACCACCUGUCCCGUCCAGGUUCGAGUUGUGACAAAGUCUUCUUGGAGGCCAACAUGGGUAUGAGUGAAGGCCCCAGCCCUGCUCGUGCCCUCAAGACAGCUCCACUCCAAAUUACUCAUCUGUGCCACUGAGGCAUCAAAACUCGAAUUACCUUUUCAAAAUUUUGUUGUCACAGGACGCUUCAAAUGGCAUUUCAUAAAACCAUGCUUCAAUAAUGAUGUUCAGGUUAGACCCUGCCUCCCAAAUUCCUUCAAGGAUCACGGCCUCGGGCAGGACUCACCAGUGGUCCAGCCUCUGCUUGCACACUCCUGAGACAGGGAGCUCACCCCCUACCCAGGCACCCUCUUCUACUCACCCACGUCUUCCCACCUCCUCCCAGGGUAUCCACUGCGGCCACACCAAGAACAGGGCCACACCCUCUGGGAGACCCCUCAGACAUAUGUCUUGGGCCAGGGCUGGGGGCAGCAGGCGUGGCAGGAGCUGGCCUUGAUGUCCCCUCCCCUUCCUGCCUGCCCUUCUUCCGGAACCCCCAGCGGCUCAGUUCUCUGGGUGUGUUGACAGACAGACAGGCGGACGCAGCUCCCUCCUGGGCGUGCAGUGCGGUCUGAGGCCCCCACCCAGCUGGAAACCACAGUGGGAG